rfam:Trichobilharzia regenti genome assembly, scaffold: TRE_scaffold0016263
AGAGAACAAAACCACAUCAAAAUCAUCCACCUGAGCUACAAAUCUUCUCUAUAAUAUCUAAAUAAACAAACUAAUAUGGAAUUCCUUAUUACCACAGUGCCCAAGUUUCACACAUAUAAUAAUAUGACACCAGAAGGUUACCUGGUUUUGAUUUUCAGUUUUAAAACAGACCUUGAAAGGGUGGCCUACCGAUUCAUUUGAACAUUAUUUUUAGAGUUUAAAGCAAGAGGGGUCAGAAAAGUUACCACACGGAUAAUCGGCUUGUAGCAGUCAAACACUCAUAGUGACGUCACUUUUGAUCCUUCUAUGUUGGCUCUUUCUAUCAUUGUGAAGCAGAAUUCAUCAAGUAUUGGGUUGUUCAUCCAAUAACAGGGAAAGUGAGCUUGUUUUGGACUGUUGUGAGACAGGUUAUUUUCACCCUACUAAUGAGUACAUUAACCAUUGAAGUACAAUCUACCUGUUUCUAUAGUAGUCUUGUUUAUUACGCAAGUUCAGACAUUUGGUAUAUGCGCCUGGUCGAGAGGCCAGUGGUUCGGAGUUACCAUCUGAAGGAUUAAGAAUUAACGCCUCUAAGUUUGAAUCCCAUCCAUGUUUGCAAAGGUAUAUUCUGUAUCCGAUACAUGGCUAGGCAAGCUUACGUAUUCCUUCUGGUGUGUCUGGACUGGGCCAUGUGUUCAGUUAGGUGAAUUAAGUCUGCUGUUAUGUCCAAAAGUGCCUGUGAGCAAACGAGUCACAUCUACACUAGGCUAGUUGACAUUACAUUGGGUUUUACCUCAUAAUCUUAAAUGUGUAUUUGAUGGCUGAAGGCAGC